rnacentral:rRNA from 1 species
UACGUAGGGGCAAGCGUUGUCCGGAUUUAUUGGGCGUAAAGAGCGUGUAGGCGGCUUUACAGGUCCGUUGUGAAACUCGAGGCUCAACCUCGAGACGCCGGUGGAAACCGUAAAGCUAGAGUCCGGAAGAGGAGAGUGGAAUUCCUGGUGUAGCGGUGAAAUGCGCAGAUAUCAGGAAGAACACCCGUGGCGAAGGCGGCUUCUGGGACGGUACUGACGCUGGAGACGCGAAAGCGUGGGGAGCGAACAGG